ensembl:snoRNA
CCCUCCUGCAAAGGCGUGUUUUUGGUUCUCUGUCCUUGGACACGUAAGAAUUGGAGGCAAAGAAAUGUGGAUUUGUUGAAGUCUGGGGCCAGCUUGCUCCAUGCAGGCUCAAGGUCAACCAUCCGACAUGG